UUUCUGUGCUGUGGAAGGUUUGUUCUUUCACUCUGCACUAUUUUGCAAUAAAUAUUGCUAUUGCUCACUUUGGGUUUAUAUUGCCUUUAUGAGCUGUAACACUCACCAUGAAGGUCUGCAGCUUUACUCUUGAAGCUUAGCGAGACCACUAACCCACCAGAAGGAAGAAACUCCGGACACGCCGCCUUUAAGAACUGUAAUACUCAGUGCGAGGGUUCACGGCUUCAUUCUUGAGAAAGACAACGAGGAGGGAGCAGCUAGAGGGGUGGAAAUGGGAUCACGUGACCUUGCGAGAAGCAGGGAGAGAGAACACUGCGUCUGCUCCCUUUUAGAACAGCUCAAUAUAGGGAAUCCCUAACAGAGGACUUCCAGGAUAUCCUAGGGACAGCAGAGCCUCAAGAUCCAGGGAGGAUCCUGGAUACCUGAGUCACCACUUGGAGGGGAAUCUCCUGGAAGAACUGAUUGAUCAGCAACAUCUACAUUCAACUUGAGCCUAAAUCAGCAUCCAGCGGCCUUGAGGAAAAAGACUGAGGUUGCUACAGAGGAGAGCAGAAAGAAGAAGGGAGCUAACGUUCAGCUUUUGAUAUUCAAAAUGAGAUUUCUUGGCAAAAUAAUAGGAGAGGAAAAAAUUUUUCCAAGUUUCUUUAGCUCCUAUUUAACAGAUCAAGACUGGCUUUGAUGUGUUGCUCCAGUUCCCCUACCCUCUCCUGCCCUGCUUAGGCCUUGCCUCUUGGUUACAUAGAGGGAGCAGUUGUGGGGAGGAAGAGGCCACCUCUGCUGGUCUACAGUCAAGGUAUUAUCUGGGGCUGGGGUCUCAUCUGAAGACUCAACUGGGGAAAGAUCCACAUCUAAGCUCAUGUGAUUGUGGGGGAGGAAGGGAGGGAGAAGGAUAGAGAGGGAGGUGCUGUGCUUUCUUCCCUGAGCCUUGGGAGGUGGGAGGUCUGGAGGUGGCCUUGAGACCAGCCUGCUAGGAGGUUAUGGGACCUGAGGGGCAGGGGAAAGCUUUUGCCCAGCUACAGGUGGAGUGUGGUCACAUCUCACAUGCUCAGCCUGCUUGGGCUGAAGGAGGCCUGAACAUUUCCAUCCCCAAGCUGACCUCAGUUUAUACUUGUUAGAGUAGCUGACGGAUUGCUGAGAAGCUGGCUACUGGGGAGGACAGUCAUUGUGGGCUGGCCAGGAAGGCUGCCUCUUUCAACGUCCCCAAGGCAACCACUCUAUGUCAGCAAGGACUCCUGAACCCAUGGCAACCCACCAGCUGCUGCUCUGGGAAGUGAGACCUUACCAGCUUGCUGCCUCCCCAGCAAUGCAGCUGCCCUGUUGGUCAGGACAACCUCUCAGGAGGGUAUCAGGCCCUGGUGUACAGUCCUUUCUUCUAGAAAGAGACAAACAGUGCAAUCACCACAGCCUCCCACUUCUUCUUAGACAGAUCUCACAUCGGAUUCACAGGGGCUUCCUGGGAACAUAAUUCUGUUGAGCCUUAGAAAUCAGGUAGGAUUUUGACUGAUUUGGGAGGUUGGUUAAUUUUACUUUUAUUUUGUUCUCUACAGCUGCUGUUAAGCCUGGCUUAGGGGUCCACCCUUUCCCAGCCCCCUUCCCUUUCUUUAUAACCUGGAUUUUGCACAAUCUAUAUCUCUCUAUAUCUCUGCAUCCAUCCAUCCAUCCAUCCAUCCAUCCAUCCAUCCAUCCAUCUCCCUCCCUUUGCCCAUUUGUCUCUUUCUUGAUAUAGGCUAGACUUUCCCAAAGUAAUUUCAACAAAAAGUAAAGGAAAAAAUCAAAUGAGAUGCACACCUUUCUCUCCAAGCCACAAACAGUGCAUAACAUCAUCAGGUAGUCAGGCUUCUGAAGGUUCUCUACACACGCCUGAUCUCUCCAAUAGCUAAGGCUCUCACUUUCAGUGUGGUUAGUGGUUAGGGAAAUGGACUUGAGAGCUGGACUGCCUGGGCUCAAUUCUCAGCUCUGGUACUGGUCUCAUGGCCUUGGGAAAGUGUUUUGUUGUUGUUGUUUUGUUUUUACAUUUCUCUGCCUCAGUGCUUCUUCGGUAAAAUGGGAAUAAAAAGAGUAACUGUCUCAUAAGAUGACUGUGAGAAUGAAAUCAGUGAAUUAAUAUGUACAAAGAGCUUAAACAUCACUUGGAACAUAGUAAGUGAUAUAUGAGAGUCAGUUCUUAUGACUAGUACUGGGCACAUAAGGUGGCAAGACCCCCUUAUCCCCAUUUUUAGUUCUUGGCAAGUCCCCCUUUGACUCCAGGUUGCUAAGCACAGCUAUGCAGGUUGCACACUACAUACCCCAUCUCCACAGACUCACUCACUCACUCUUCUCCUGUGCAGGGAGGAGUUAGGGUGGCGUUUCGGGCAGAUCAUUAUGGCAAAUGGAGUUUGCAGCAGGACUAACAGGGUCACCUUCAGGGUCCUGGAUGAAGUUCAUUCUUUCAGGGCCACAGAAGCGUAGAAAACUCUUUAGUCAUAAGUUGGUGGGGGUGCCAAGAGGAAAGGCACAGCAGAGAAUGCUAAGAGCCUAAGGAUGUGACUGGAGAAUCUCCUGAAGUUAUAGAUCCUGCAGGCAGGGCUGGCUUCAGGGAAGUGCAACCUGUGCAGUCGCACUGGUCCACAUGCUUGGAAGAGGCCCCUUAUUUUCACUUUGCACUGAGUCCUCAAGUUACAUGACUGGUCAGUCCUACCCCAUAAGGCAUGGAUUGCAAAGGAGAACAAAGAAUCCACGGAGGUGAUCGACUUUGAGGUGAAGCUGGGAGAGGAAGAUGAUGGUGCCAUCAACAGAAAAAGGCUUUGAUGACUCAGGCUGCCAUACUGAAGAUGCCCACAUGGCCAGGAGCUGGGACCUUUAUUCUAACAACCCUCAAGCAGCUGAAUCCUGCCAAUAAUCAUGUGAGCUUGGAUGUGGGUCCUUCCCUACUUGAACCUUCAGAUGAGACCCCAGCCCCAGCUGAUACUUUGACUGCAGCUUUGUGAGAGACCCUGAGACAGAGGACCGAGAUGAGCCAUGCCUUGGCUGCUGGCCCACAAAAACUGUGAGAUCAAAAUGAUGUGUUGUUUUAAGCCAUUAACUGUGUGGUAACUUGUCAAACAGUGUAUUAGGCCAUUUGUGUUGCUACAAAGGAAUACCCGAGGCUGAGUAGUUUAUUAAGAAAAGAGGUUUAAUUGGCUUAUGGUUCUGCA
rnacentral:lncRNA from 1 species